UUUAGGGUAUAUUCACACUCCAUAAUGAUUCUCACCUGAUAUUGCCUCUUCAUUUCUCAAAUUGUAUUAUCAUAUUUCUUAAUUGCCUCAGUUUUGUCGGAAGGAAGCUUGUCUGACACGAUGCAUCCAGGCACUUUCUUUUACUCAUUUCUCAGGACAACCUUCGAGGUAGGACCUCUCUUAUCCCCAGUAGGACUUUCCAUAAGUAAAUCAGUGACUGGAAUUGGAACAGAAACCCAGGCUCUGUGUGCAGGCUAUGCUUCCCCAGCUGCCUGCCUUCCUGAUUCCAACCCCUGCACCCCUGCAGAGGGUCCCCACGGUGCAGGAUUUCCCGGUAUAUAAAUAAGUCCUACCUAUCAGGUGGGACUUGAAAUGGCCGGGUAAGGGCAGUCCCAACUAAUUUCUGGGGAUAGAUGAGUUUGUACAUGUGAAUGUGAUGCAACAAACGUCUAUCUAGUUCUUUGGGGCGCAUGGGGUCAGGAGCCUGCAAACAGGGGAGCUGUCUCUUCCGUGCUGGGGAUAAGGGAAGGAGCUGAGAGGGCUUACUUUCUUGGGCAGUAACAGGGAGAGGGCAACUCACUGAGGAGGAUCUUUAAGCUAAACCAAUUCAGUUUUCUUCUGAGGGCAGAGAUUUCAGGAGAGCAUCCUGGUGUGUAAUGAGAAGGAGCUCUGCUGCUUGGAAUCUAGGGGAGCUAGAGGAGCUCCCUCCCUAGACAGUGUAAAAUCACAGGAUUCUUUCACCAAGGACGAGCUCACCAUGCUCUGUUGUGAGCCCUCCUCAACUUCCACUUGCAGAGCCAAGGAGGGGAUCAAGGGUAGCUGCAGUCUAUCUGCAGUCCAGUGACCUGGAGGGGUCAGAGGCAGGAAGGAGAGAGAGCAACUCCAGAAAGAACCAUACCAGCAAGGAAUAACUUUGCUACUUUUCCAGAAAAUCACAUCAUCAGCAACUGACCAAGUUCCUACAGAGCCUGGGCAGAGAAUCAGAGAGAUGAUUGAUUCUCCAUGCCUGGCCUCUUUUGUUCCAUGUAUGUUUGUGAAGUGUGUCCAUGAUGCUGUACACAGCGAUAGCUCACUCAUUGCUGAUAAUGAAGCCCAGCAGCUUACCCAUUUCACUGCAGUAAACAACAUAUUGCUUCUUGUUUGUGUGUCCUGAAUCACGGAGACAUGCACUGUACAAUUCCGUGAGUUUGGACGGUUGCCUACAUUUAUACAAACGACCACCUCUGGACUCACUGCUGUUCCAGCUUCUGCAAAUGCUAAGCUCAGCGUUUCCCCACACCAGGGUCUCUUUUGGAGUCUAGCUGAAGCACUUAAUGGGAAUCCACCUAAGUCUCCUCUGACUUUUUUGUUUAUGCUAGUAAAGAGCCCAGGGAAGCCAUGUCAGGAGUAGACAGUGCUGCCAGCUGUCCAUGUCUUAGUGAGAUCCAGAAUCAGUGGGGCACAUCUCCCAAGAGAGAAUUGCCAUUCUGCAUCUCCAUCAUGAGGAUGCUGCUGGACUACCUCUGCAGGAGUUUGCACUGAUGCUGUGCUACAAGGAACAAAGACCCUUCUCUGCUUUGGUUUUCUUCAGAAAUGGUCCUGGCUCUAUCUCCCACAUACUCCAGCCUCCCACCAUUACAAUUGGGGUGGACUUUCCUUCUACCUGUGGAACACAUCAAAUGGAGUUCUUGU
ensembl:lincRNA Gm10419 predicted gene 10419